rnacentral:pre_miRNA from 1 species
GUGCAUCAAUACCUUGGCUCUAGACUGCUUACUGCUUAAAACUCAUUGUAACAGUCUACAGUCAUGGCUACUGACGUCUG